GUGUCAGCAGCCGCGGUAAUACGGAGGAUCCAAGCGUUAUCCGGAAUCAUUGGGUUUAAAGGGUCCGUAGGCGGCUUAAUAAGUCAGCGGUGAAAGUUUUUGGCUUAACCAAAAAAUUGCCAUUGAUACUGUUAGGCUUGAAUUUUUGUGAAGUAACUAGAAUAUGUAGUGUAGCGGUGAAAUGCUUAGAUAUUACAUGGAAUACCAAUUGCGAAGGCAGGUUACUAACAAACGAUUGACGCUGAUGGACGAAAGCGUGGGUAGCGAACAGGAUUAGAAACCCUCGUAGUCC
rnacentral:rRNA from 1 species